rnacentral:rRNA from 1 species
UACGUAGGUGGCGAGCGUUGUCCGGAUUUACUGGGAGUAAAGGGAGCGUAGGCGGACUUUUAAGUGAGAUGUGAAAUACCCGGGCUCAACUUGGGUGCUGCAUUUCAAACUGGAAGUCUAGAGUGCAGGAGAGGAGAAUGGAAUUCCUAGUGUAGCGGUGAAAUGCGUAGAGAUUAGGAAGAACACCAGUGGCGAAGGCGAUUCUCUGGACUGUAACUGACGCUGAGGCUCGAAAGCGUGGGGAGCAAACAGGAUUAGAUACUCCCGUA